rfam:Haliaeetus albicilla contig52308, whole genome shotgun sequence.
AUAAAGGUUUUCUUGAAAACCAUACAUUUUACCUGUUUGUAAGUUG